GGGGAAUAUUGCACAAUGGGGGAACCCUGAUCCAGCCAUGCCGCGUGUGUGAAGAAGGCCUUUUGGUUGCAAAGCACUUUAAGCGAGGAGGAGGCUACUUUGGUUAAUACCUAGAGAUAGUGGACGUUACUCGCAGAAUAAGCACCGGCUAACUCUGUGCCAGCAGCCGCGGUAAUACAGAGGGUGCGAGCGUUAAUCGGAUUUACUGGGCGUAAAGCGUGCGUAGGCGGCUUUUUAAGUCGGAUGUGAAAUCCCCGAGCUUAACUUGGGAAAUGCAGUCGAUACUGGGAAGCUAGAGUAUGGGAGAGGAUGGUAGAAUUCCAGGUGUAGCAGUAAAAUGCGUAGAGAUCUGGAGGAAUACCGAUGGCGAAGGCAGCCAUCUGGCCUAAUACUGACGCUGAGGCACGAAAGCAUGGGGAGCGAAC
rnacentral:rRNA from 1 species